UACAUGGGGUGCAAACGUUGCUCGGAAUUAUUGGGCGUAAAGCGCACGUAGGCGGUUCGUUAAGUCGGAUGUGAAAGCCCUCGGCUCAACUGAGGAAGUGCACCCUAAACUGGCGAGCUUGAGUACGAAAGAGGAUCGCGGAAUUCCCGGUGUAGAGGUGAAAUUCGUAGAUAUCAGGAGGAACACCGGUGGUGUAAACGGCUUUCUGGACCAUAACUGACGCUGAUGCACGAAAGCGUGGGUAGCAAACAGG
rnacentral:rRNA from 1 species